rnacentral:rRNA from 1 species
GAUGAACGCUGGCGGCGUGCUUAACACAUGCAAGUCGAACGAAGCGCUUUGAUUUCUUCGGAUUGAUGAGUGACUGAGUGGCGGACGGGUGAGUAACGCGUGGGUAACCUGCCUCACACAGGGGGAUAACAGUUAGAAAUGACUGCUAAUACCGCAUAAGACCACAGUACCGCAUGGUACAGUGAUAAAAACUCCGGUGGUGUGAGAAGGACCCGCGUCUGAUUAGCUAGUUGGUGAGGUAACGGCCCACCAAGGCGACGAUCAGUAGCCGACCUGAGAGGGUGACCGGCCACAUUGGGACUGAGACACGGCCCAAACUCCUACGGGAGGCAGCAGUGGGGAAUAUUGCACAAUGGGCGAAAGCCUGAUGCAGCGACGCCGCGUGAAGGAUGAAGUAUUUCGGUAUGUAAACUUCUAUCAGCAGGGAAGAAAAUGACGGUACCUGACUAAGAAGCCCCGGCUAACUACGUGCCAGCCGCCGCAGUAAAAC